rnacentral:rRNA from 1 species
UUUGGUUAAGUCCCGCAACUAGCGCAACCCUCGCCUUCAGUUGCCAGCAGGUUGGGCUGGGCACUCUGGAUGAACUGCCGGUGACAAGCCGGAGGAAGGUGGGGAUGACGUCAAGUCCUCAUGGCCCUUAUGUCCUGGGCUACACACGUGCUACAAUGGCGGUGACAGAGGGAAGCGAGGCUGUGAGGCUGAGCCGAUCCCGAAAAGCCGUCUCAGUUCAGAUUGCACUCUGCAACUCGAGUGCAUGAAGGCGGAAUCGCUAGAAUC